CUUGUAGGCGGCUUGUCGCGUCUGCUGUGAAAACCCGGGGCUUAACCCCGGGCUUGCAGUGGGUACGGGCAGGCUAGAGUGUGGUAGGGGAGACUGGAAUUCCUGGUGUAGCGGUGGAAUGCGCAGAUAUCAGGAGGAACACCGAUGGCGAAGGCAGGUCUCUGGGCCAUUACUGACGCUGAGAAGCGAAAGCGUGGGGAGCGAACAG
rnacentral:rRNA from 1 species